rnacentral:pre_miRNA from 1 species
UAAAUACUCCCUCUGUCCGGAAAAGCUUGUCCCAAGCUUGUUCCUCAAAUGGAUGUAUCUAGCACCAAGUUGGUGCUAGAUACAUCCAUUUGAGGGACAAGUUUUUUCGGACGGAGGGAGUAGAAG